rnacentral:rRNA from 1 species
AUACGAAGGGGGCUAGCGUUGUUCGGAUUUACUGGGCGUAAAGCGCACGAAGGCGGAUUGAUUAGUUAGGGGUGAAAUCCCGAGGCUCAACCUCGGAACUGCCUUUAAUACUGUCAAUCUCGAGACCGGAAGAGGUGAGUGGAACUCCUAGUGUAGAGGUGGAAUUCGUAGAUAUUAGGAAGAACACCAGUGGCGAAGGCGGCUCACUGGUCCGGUACUGACGCUGAGGUGCGAAAGCGUGGGGAGCGAACAGGAUUAGAUACCCUAGUAGUCC